UGGGGAAUAUUGCGCAAUGGGGGAAACCCUGACGCAGCGACGCCGCGUUCGGGAUGAAGGCCUUCGGGUUGUAAACCGCUUUUGAUUGGGAGCAAGCCUUUUGGGUGAGUGUACCUUUCGAAUAAGCGCCGGCUAACUACGUGCCAGCAGCCGCGGUAAUACGUAGGGCGCAAGCGUUAUCCGGAAUUAUUGGGCGUAAAGAGCUUGUAGGCGGUUCGUCGCGUCUGGUGUGAAAGCCCAUCGCUUAACGGUGGGUUUGCGCCGGGUACGGGCGGGCUAGAGUGCAGUAGGGGAGACUGGAAUUCCCGGUGUAACGGUGGAAUGUGUAGAUAUCGGGAAGAACACCAAUGGCGAAGGCAGGUCUCUGGGCUGUUACUGACGCUGAGAAGCGAAAGCGUGGGGAGCGAACAGG
rnacentral:rRNA from 1 species